rnacentral:rRNA from 1 species
UACGUAGGGUGCGAGCGUUGUCCGGAAUUACUGGGCGUAAAGAGCUCGUAUGCGGCUUGUCGCGUCGACUGUGAAAACCCGCGGCUCAACUGCGGGCCUGCAGCCGAUACGGGCAGGCUAGAGUUCGGUAGGGGAGACUGGAAUUCCUGGUGUAGCGGUGAAAUGCGUAGAUAUCUGGAGGAACACCGGUGGCGAAGGCGGCAUCCUGGACCGGCAUUGACGCUGAGGCGCGAAAGCCAGGGGAGCAAACGGG